rnacentral:rRNA from 1 species
CGAAUGCUGACAUAAGUAACGAUAAAGCGGGUGAAAAGCCCGCUCGCCGGAAGACCAAGGGUUCCUGUCCAACGUUAAUCGGGGCAGGGUGAGUCGACCCCUAAGGCGAGGCCGAAAGGCGUAGUCGAUGGGAAACAGGUUAAUAUUCCUGUACUUGGUGUUACUGCGAAGGGGGGACGGAGAAGGCUAUGUUGGCCGGGCGACGGUUGUCCCGGUUUAAGCGUGUAGGCUGGUUUUCCAGGCAAAUCCGGAAAAUCAAGGCUGAGGCGUGAUGACGAGGCACUACGGUGCUGAAGCAACAAAUGCCCUGCUUCCAGGAAAAGCCUCUAAGCAUCAGGUAACAUCAAAUCGUACCCCAAACCGACACAGGUGGUCAGGUAGAGAAUACCAAGGCGCUUGAGAGAACUCGGGUGAAGGAACUAGGCAAAAUGGUGCCGUAACUUCGGGAGAAGGCACGCUGAUAUGUAGGUGAAGUCCCUCGCGGAUGGAGCUGAAAUCAGUCGAAGAUACCAGCUGGCUGCAACUGUUUAUUAAAAACACAGCACUGUGCAAACACGAAAGUGGACGUAUACGGUGUGACGCCUGCCCGGUGCCGGAAGGUUAAUUGAUGGGGUCAGCGCAAGCGAAGCUCUUGAUCGAAGCCCCGGUAAACGGCGGCCGUAACUAUAACGGUCCUAAGGUAGCGAAAUUCCUUGUCGGGUAAGUUCCGACCUGCACGAAUGGCGUAAUGAUGGCCAGGCUGUCUCCACCCGAGACUCAGUGAAAUUGAACUCGCUGUGAAGAUGCAGUGUACCCGCGGCAAGACGGAAAGACCCCGUGAACCUUUACUAUAGCUUGACACUGAACAUUGAGCCUUGAUGUGUAGGAUAGGUGGGAGGCUUUGAAGUGUGGACGCCAGUCUGCAUGGAGCCGACCUUGAAAUACCACCCUUUAAUGUUUGAUGUUCUAACGUGGACCCGUGAUCCGGGUUGCGGACAGUGUCUGGUGGGUAGUUUGACUGGGGCGGUCUCCUCCUAAAGAGUAACGGAGGAGCACGAAGGUUGGCUAAUCCUGGUCGGACAUCAGGAGGUUAGUGCAAUGGCAUAAGCCAGCUUGACUGCGAGCGUGACGGCGCGAGCAGGUGCGAAAGCAGGUCAUAGUGAUCCGGUGGUUCUGAAUGGAAGGGCCAUCGCUCAACGGAUAAAAGGUACUCCGGGGAUAACAGGCUGAUACCGCCCAAGAGUUCAUAUCGACGGCGGUGUUUGGCACCUCGAUGUCGGCUCAUCACAUCCUGGGGCUGAAGUAGGUCCCAAGGGUAUGGCUGUUCGCCAUUUAAAGUGGUACGCGAGCUGGGUUUAGAACGUCGUGAGACAGUUCGGUCCCUAUCUGCCGUGGGCGCUGGAGAACUGAGGGGGGCUGCUCCUAGUACGAGAGGACCGGAGUGGACGCAUCACUGGUGUUCGGGUUGUCAUGCCAAUGGCACUGCCCGGUAGCUAAAUGCGGAAGAGAUAAGUGCUGAAAGCAUCUAAGCACGAAACUUGCCCCGAGAUGAGUUCUCCCUGACCCUUUAAGGGUCCUGAAGGAACGUUGAAGACGACGACGUUGAUAGGCCGGGUGUGUAAGCGCAGCGAUGCGUUGAG